GGUUGUGGCUCAAUGGUAGAGCACUUGCCUAGCACAUGUGAGGCACUGGGUUUGAUUCUCAGCACCA
rnacentral:tRNA from 1 species